AAAGAAACUAACAAGGAUUCCCCUAGUAACGGCGAGUGAAGAGGGAAGAGCUCAAAUUUUAAAUCUGCCUUGUUCCAAGGUCGAGUUGUAAUUUGAAGAAGCGUUUUCUUGGGCUCGCGGCCGGUAGAAGUUCUUUGGAACAGGACAUCAUAGAGGGUGACAAUCCCGUCCGUGACCGGUCGUGCGUUCAUMUACGAUACGCUUUCAAAGAGUCGAGUUGUUUGGGAUUGCAGCUCCAAACGGGUGGUAAACAUCACCUAAGGCUAAAUAUUGGCGAGAGACCGAUAGCGAACAAGUACCGUGAGGGAAAGAUGAAAAGAACUUUGAAAAGAGAGUUAAACAGUACGUGAAAUUGUUGAAAGGGAAACGAUUGAAGUCAGUCGUGCUGGCGCGAAAUCAACCCUCUCGUCUUGAGAUCACAUGGCGCGACGAGCCUCAAAACCGUCACGAAGCGUGAACUCUUGACGAAAAGGUGCACUUUCGUGUCCGCUGGUUAACAUCAAUUUCGAACGUCAUAAAAAGGCUGGAGGGAUGUGGCUCCUUCGGGAGUGUUAUAACCUUUAGCGGAAUGUGGCGUUCGGGAUUGAGGAUUGCAACGAAUACCUUCAGGGCUGUUCCACCUGGCUUCUCAUUGGUAUCCUGGUGACGACAGCUUGCUGACGUCGUUAGGAUCAGCUUCUGAACAGGCUAGAGUGUGAGCAAAUUCGUUAAGGAUGUUAACGUAAUGGCUUUAAACGACC
rnacentral:rRNA from 2 species